rnacentral:tRNA from 20 species
UGAUGUGGCUCAGAGGUAGAGCACUUCCUUGGUAAGGAAGGGGUCACGGGUUCAAUUCCCGUCAUCA